AAAUAUUAGCAAGAAAUCGCAUAUAUGAAGUCAAAACAGAUAACUAAUAGAUAAGAGAUAAGGGUGAACCUCAGGAGUAAAAUCCUUUAAUUAGUAUAGAAGAAUCCAUUAAUACAGAACUUCGGCUCUAAAAAAUCAAUCGAGAAAAGCAACAUUAAAGGCGAUCUGCGAACCGCCUGGAAUACGAGUGGCACUUCAACUCGACGUCGUCUCAAGCAUCAACCAAACUCCAUGUUUGAAAACUCAAAUCAAGUAUCAAAAGGAGGCAGCUAGCAGUAGUAUGUGUAUAUAUUUUAGUAUUUCUGAAAUUCAAUCACCAACUAGCAGAAGCAUUUUUUCCAUCUCUUCUUCGUAUGUAUUUUUAAAAUUGUGAAAAGAAGCAGAAACAAAGCGGUUUUUGGGUGAAGGUGUUGAGCUAUUGGGCUCCUCCAGUCAGCUGAAGCCCAAUAUGAAGAGAGAAGCAACAGAU
rnacentral:lncRNA from 1 species